ACUUCCUAAGCCGGAACGAAAAGUCUCUUUGUAGCGAUACACUGAAGCUUUUGGCUUUGUGGUUGUGAUGUUGUGUUUGCAAGUUGUCUGGGAAACCAGGCUUUGUAGCAUAAGCUACUGUUUUUUCACUUCCUGUACAUUUACCCUGUCUGUCCAUAGUGAUUUUUUAUUGCACCGCAAUUGCGGUGCUUUUUUUC
rnacentral:other from 1 species